CAUGCACUGGUGGGGUCCCUCGGCCUGGCCUGCGCCCUCUCACAAUCCAGGACCCCUUGGGGGAUGCUGGAGAGCCAGUUUCAGCCCGAUCCCCGCUGGCCAGGCUGAGGGACCUCACCAGUGCACA
rnacentral:pre_miRNA from 1 species